rnacentral:rRNA from 1 species
GACAGAGGGUGCAAACGUUGUUCGGAAUUACUGGGCGUAAAGCGCGUGUAGGCGGCCCUGUAAGUCGGGUGUGAAAUCCCACGGCUCAACCGUGGAAGUGCACUCGAAACUACAGGGCUAGAGUCCUGGAGAGGAAGGUGGAAUGCUUGGUGUAGAGGUGAAAUUCGUAGAUAUCAAGCGGAACACCGGUGGCGAAGGCGGCCUUCUGGACAGUGACUGACGCUGAGACGCGAAAGCGUGGGGAGCA